CGGAUGUAGCCAAGUGGAUAAAGGCAGU
rnacentral:tRNA from 1 species